AGUACCAGAGUAACCCUAAAUCAUCCUGAUUUGUCAGAAGACUACAUAGAACAGUCUAGAGGUGGAAACUGAUAGAUCAUUUGAAGAGGAUCCUGUUAAAGCAGUCAUAAAUAUGUUUCACAAAACAAUGAACACCUUGUUACAGCAUAUCUUGAACAGCCUAGAAAAGAGAACAGUCUGGAGGUGGAAACGGGUGGAUCACUUUUAGAAGAAACUGUUAAAGCACAGAGACAUGUACCAAGGAACAACAAGACAUGAUUGUUGCAGCAUAUCUUGAACAACCUGGCAUAAGUGUUUACUAACAACACCACCUCAACAGAACUUCAAGAUAAAGAAAUUUUAUGUGAUGAGAACCUCAAUAAAGAAGAUAGAAAAAGAUCAAUGGUUUUAGUUUUCAAUGUAGAAGCUGAUGUCACAAAUGUCUUUUCUUAGUCAGGGAGUCCAGAAACAAGUUUUGAUUCUUUAAAAUUGAAAGUGACUUUUUGUAUAAUCAUUCAUUUCUUGUAUCUGGAUUAAUUGACUAAGUAAGA